UAGCAUGUAUUUAAUGCGGGCAAAUUGUUUUAAUUCGGCCGUUUAGCUUGCAUGCGAUAUAAUUAUCCAUUGAAGAAUUUUUAGCUGGGUUUCUCUCAUUUUAAACUCAUGAUCUAUCUUUUAAGGAAACAAU
ensembl:snoRNA K07C5.18 ncRNA